CGCACUGAAACAAUUUCCCUUGACUCUUUUAAUUUAACAUUUUUGGCACAUUGGAAUGAGCUAGUUGCAUAAUCUGUGUGUAUCCUCCAGUGCCAUUUCCAUGGAGCUAGAGGUGCAGGUGGUGGGAGGCAUAGACUCCUGCUUCGUCUCCCUCCCUCUCUCUCUCAUCCAAACUCUCCAGUCCACGCGCUCAUCACCGAUCCCUCAAAUCCUCGCUCUCGAACUUCGCUCUCCGACUCACCCCCCUCACACCUGGUUCGUCGCUUGGUCCGGCGCCACUUCCUCUUCUUCUUCCGCCAUAGAGGUUUCUCCUCAAUUUGCGGAGUGUGUUUCGUUGCCGAAUCAUGCUACUGUUCAAGUCAGAGCUGCUCCUAAUGUUCCACACGCUUCACUGGUAACGAUAGAGCCGCACACCGAGGAUGACUGGGAAAUUUUGGAGCUUAACGCGGACCAAGCCGAAGCUCAAAUCCUCAGCCAGGUCAGGAUUGUCCAUGAAGGGAUGAGAUUUCCUUUGUGGUUACAUGGUCAUACUGUCAUCACAUUCCAAGUGGCUUCUGUUUUUCCGAAGAACGUGGUGGUACAACUCAUGCCAGGAACUGAAGUUGCUGUUGCUCCAAAAAGACGCAAAAAAAGUUCAGAUUCAGCAGGAGAUUCACAUCUAGACUCCUCUAAUAAAGAGCAUACUGCUAAGAUGCUGCUUCGUUUACAAGAUCCAGAUGGAUUAUGUAGUACCAGUACUCAUGUCAAAGGAGUUGAGCUUCAUGUAGGGCUUACUUCUGUUGCUUUUGUUCACCCAGAAACAGCCAAAAAAUACUCAUUCAACAUGCUUCAGUUGGUUUCGAUAGUACCCAGAGUAACCAAGGAGAAUGUUAAUAUUUCCAGAUCUAAUAUUAUGAAAGCCAAAAGUGGUCCAGCUACUAAUGAAGUUGAGAAUGGAUAUACUGACAAGACAGAAUAUCGACAAACAAUUGUUCAGCUGUUGAUUUCAGAAUCUGUGGCUGAAGGACAUGUGAUGGUAGCCAAGUCUCUUCGCCUUUAUUUGAGAGCUAGCCUACAUUCAUGGGUUUAUUUGAAGGCAUGCGAUAUUAUUUUGGAAAAAAGUAUUCCUUCCACCUCUCUUUUUCCGUGCCAAUUCAAACUAUUAAAGCAAGAGAAUGCUGUUGAGAAAGAUGGUCUAGAAGUUUUUCAUGGCCACAAGAAUCACAUUGAUGAAAAUUUGCAUGCAAAACCUACAUCAGGUGUCUUUGUGGAUACUAUAGAUUGGUCAAUCCAAAAUGAAGUUGCAGCAGCUCUCUCUGAUGAAUCCAGUUACAAAGCAGAGGAAGAGGCUACAAAUCAAUCUCAGAAUCAAAGGGGAUUACAGAGUCUUGUACGACUAUGGUAUAUCAUGCAACUUAAGGCAAUUACUUCCAUUUCGGGUAUGGAGGUUAGUUCGUUGAUUAUAGGUAAUAAAACCUUGCUUCAUUUUGAAGUAAGCUGUUACAAGCUUAGGAAUAAUGGGAAGGUUCAGUUAGCCUAUAAUUCUUCAGAGAACAGUGGCAAGGCAGCUGAGAUGUUGUUUUUAUUGACCUUUGGUGAAGAAUAUCUGCAUCAUGGGAAACUUAAUGCAUAUGAAGUUGCUCUUGGUGGAAGACUCAAUAACAUCAAUAUUGGGGACUUGAAGCUUUUUGAAAGGAUGAAAUUGUGUGAUCCUGUGUCUAUUCAUUCUAUAGAAGAGAGAGCCUCCGAAGACCACAUUAGUUCAAAUGUAUCUUCCCUUGGUUGGAUGGAGAAAGCUGCAGAUGAUGUUAUCAACAGGAUGUUGAUAUUGUUAUGUUCUGCAUCUGGUUUGUGGUUUGGCUCACACAACUUACCACUCCCCGGACAUGUUCUGAUAUAUGGACCUUCUGGCUCUGGGAAAACUAUAUUAGCAAGAACUGUGGCAAAAUCCCUUGAGAAUCGUGAGGACAUCUUAGCACACAUAAUUUUUGUUUCCUGCUCAAAACUUGCCCUGGAGAAGGUCCCAGUUAUUCGCCAAGAACUUGCAAACCAUGUAACUGAAGCUUUAAACCAUGCUCCUUCUGUUGUCAUCUUUGAUGAUCUUGAUAGCAUAAUUUCUACCCCUGAUUCUGAAGGAUCUCAACUGUUAAUGUCUGUUGCUGGACUCACAGAUUUUCUAAUUGACAUCAUGGAUGAAUAUAGGGAGAAGAGGCAAAAAUCAUGUGGAUUUGGACCAAUAGCCUUCAUAGCUUCCAUACAAUCCCUAGAGAAGAUACCACAGUCUUUGAGCUCUUCAGGACGGUUUGACUUUCAUAUAAAGCUGCCUGCUCCUGCAGCUUCUGAGCGCAGGGCUAUGUUGAAGCAUGAAAUACAGAGGCGUCAGUUGCAAUGUGAUGAUGACAUCCUGCUUGAUGUGGCUGUAAAAUGUGAUGGUUAUGAUGGUUAUGAUCUGGAAAUAUUAGUUGACAGAACUGUCCAUGCUGCUGUUUGCCGUUUUCUGCCAUCUAAUGCUGCCAUUUAUGAGCAUGAGAGUCCUGCUUUAUUAAGGGAGGAUUUCUCUCAGGCAAUGCUUGAUUUUCUUCCAGUUGCAAUGCGUGAUAUCACAAAAUCAGCUUCUGAUGAUGGCCGUUCUGGAUGGGAUGAUGUGGGUGGUCUUGUUGACAUUCGAAAUGCUAUUAAGGAGAUGAUAGAGUUGCCAUCAAAGUUUCCGAAAACUUUUGCACAAGCACCUUUGAGGUUGCGGUCAAAUGUCCUUUUAUAUGGUCCUCCUGGUUGUGGUAAAACUCACAUAGUUGGUGCUGCUGCUGCUGCUUCUUCACUUCGAUUCAUAUCAGUGAAAGGGCCAGAGUUAUUAAACAAGUACAUUGGUGCUUCUGAACAAGCUGUUAGGGAUAUAUUCUCUAAAGCAGCUGCUGCAGCACCAUGCCUACUUUUUUUUGAUGAAUUUGAUUCUAUAGCCCCCAAGAGAGGGCAUGACAAUACUGGAGUAACUGAUCGUGUUGUUAAUCAAUUUCUGACUGAGUUAGAUGGUGUUGAGAUUUUAACUGGUGUAUUUGUGUUUGCUGCAACCAGUAGACCAGAUUUACUUGAUGCAGCACUGUUGAGACCUGGUAGGUUAGAUCGUCUUCUGUUCUGUGACUUUCCGUCUUUGCAUGAGAGAUUGGAAAUUCUUGCAGUACUUUCUAGAAAGUUACCAAUGGCCAAUGAUGUUGAUUUGGAUACAAUAGCUAAUAUGACCGAGGGAUUCAGUGGAGCUGAUCUCCAAGCUCUCCUCUCAGAUGCGCAGCUUGCAGCGGUUCAUGAUGUUCUGGACAGUGUGGAUGCCUCUAGGCCAGAAAAAACACCAGUUAUUACUGAUGCUCUUCUGAAGUUCACAGCAUCCAAGGCUAGACCAUCUGUUUCAGAAGAAGAGAAGAGAAGACUCUACAAUAUAUAUCACCAGUUCCUGGAUUCAAAAAGAUCGGUUGCUGCCCAGUCAAGGGAUACAAAAGGCAAGAGGGCAACUCUAGCUUGACAGGGAAGUAAAUUCAGUGCAGUUUGUUCAUGUGGUGGAAGCUAGUCUUUGGUAUUCCUUUCUUCUGAAGAUGUCUUCUCUGUUCAUUUGCACCUCCUUAAUAGUAAAUUUGUAUAGGGCAUAACGGGCAGCAAUGAAUGGUAUUUUUUGUUGUAUAAUUCAAUCACCCAGGUUUCAUCUAUUUUUCCCUUCUAUUUAAAUGUUUGCUAAAAACAUAUUUCCCCCUUCUAUUUAUUACUUUCAGAAUGAAUGGUACUUUUGAUGUAUAAUUCAA